UCGGAGGUUACGGGCUGUUUCGACGAAAAAUGCUAUGUUUGAAUCGAAACGCUAAAAACACGUCGUUUUCCACCAUUUUCGUAUAGAUUCUUGAUAAGUUUUGAGCCUAGAUGAUUUAGGUAUGCAUUGGUAUGAAUUUUGGGGUAUUUGGAGCUUCGGAAAUGGUCCAGAAGCAUCAAAAAACGCUGCCCCCAAAGUGCGCACGACGUGCUGCACUUCAGCACGUCGUGCUGGUGCGCGACGUGCACCAGAAGGGUGCACGACGUGCACCACAAGGGUGCACGACGUGCACCAGUGAAGGGCACGUCGUGCCCUUCAUGAAAAAUGAAGGGCACGAGGUGCCAAGCUAGCACGACGUGCCCUACUUCGAUCGUGACCUCCGGGGGACUUCCGGGAGCGAAAAUUGGCCUCUGAUGGCAUGAUAUGGGCGUAGAACUCUGACAAAUGUCUUAAAAUGAAUAUUAAUAAGACAUUAUAGCAAUGAACAUUAACAUGAUGAGUAAUAGAGAUAUGAAUAGAGAUCUAUAGAGAAAGAUACGUUUAGAACACGACGAUUAUAUUUCGUGCUUUUGUCGUGUUAGGUACCUAGUGCAGUUUUUAAGAACAAGAUUCUCUAAGUAUAUAUUUUAACGAUAGAAUCCUGUGAUAGAUGUGACGGACUAUCGAUCUACGAGUAUGACGAACCAAGAAGCUCGACGAGGAUUGACGGACCAGUCUCCUGGAGCUUACGUUUGGAUAUAAGGAAUAGCGAUCGUUGUGUUUAGAGUCGGAUCAGACAGACCGUCUUUGGUGUGCUGAGUACGAGUCCCCUUGGUGCUGCAGUAGUAUACGUAUGACGAGUCUUAGCAUAGAAUAGUCAGGUCUUAUAGGUUGUGUACAUAUUUAAUGUUUGUUUGAUGUGACGUCUUUUGGUUGUCA